rnacentral:lncRNA from 1 species
GUAGCCUAUUGUUAGUGUGUGUCUGUGACUGGGCUCUCCAUGGCAGGCUAGCAUGGAUGCACCCUGGUGGGUAACUGUAACUGGGAAUAGUCCCACUUCCCAAAUUCUGCUUCAUUGGGAUCAUCUGUGGAGUUUCAUAGGGUUGUGGAUAGGAUCUAUGGAAAACAUAUUUAAGGAGACAUUGUUUCUUUUACUGAAAAUCAUAUUCGGACUGCACUGAAAGGACCUGAGCCCUAGGACCAUGCCUCAGGACUACCUGGCAUGAUGACUCCUUGCUGUCCCCAGUCUACCUGGCUGUGCUGCUGCUGCUCCAGUUUCAACUGUUCUGCCUAUGGAACCCUGACCUGUUCACCGGAUGUGCUUGCUGCACCCUUGACAACUACUAUGAUUAUUAUUAUUUGACCAUGCUGGUCAUUUAUGAACAUCUUAACAUCUUGACCAUGUUCUGUUAUAAUAUCCACCCGGCACAGCCAGAAGAGGACUGGCCAUCCCUCAUAGCCUGGUUCCUCUCUAGGUUUCUUCCUAGGUUUUUGGCCUUUAUAGGGAGUUUUUCCUAGCCACCGUGCUUCUUUCACAUGCAUUGCUUGCUGUUUGGGGUUUUAGGCUGGGUUUCUGUACAGCACUUUGAGAUAUCAGCUGAUGUACGAAGAGCUAUAUAAAUACAUUUGAUUUGAUCUUAUGAUAAAUGUCUUCCUGUAGAGAUCAAU